UACAGAGGUCUCAAGCGUUGUUCGGAAUCAUUGGGCGUAAAGGGCGUGUAGGCGGUUUGUUAAGUCAUGUGUGAAAUCCCUCGGCUCAACCGGGGAACGACGCAUGAAACUGGCAAGCUAGAGUACCAAAGAGGGGGGUGGAAUUCCCGGUGUAGCAGUGAAAUGCGUAGAUAUGCGGAGGAACACCGAUGGCGAAGGCAAUCCCCUGGACCUGUACUGACGCUCAUGCACGAAAGCGUGGGGAGCAAACAGG
rnacentral:rRNA from 1 species